AGCUUAUACAUGCAGUCGAGGGGCAGCACAGGGUAGCAAUACCUGGGUGGCGACCGGCAAACGGGCGCGGAACACGUACAGAACCUACCUUCGAGCGGGGGAUAGCCCAGAGAAAUUUGGAUUAAUACCCCAUAGUAUAUUUGGAUGGCAUCAUUUGAAUAUUAAAGAUUUAUCACUUGAAGAUGGCUGUGCGUAUGAUUAGGUAGUUGGCGGGGUAACGGCCCACCAAGCCUACGAUCAUUAACUGGUGUGAGAGCACGACCAGUCACACGGGCACUGAGACACGGGCCCGACUCCUACGGGAGGCAGCAGUAAGGAAUAUUGGUCAAUGGACGCAAGUCUGAACCAGCCAUGCCGCGUGGAGGAUGAAGGUCCUCUGGAUUGUAAACUUCUUUUAUCUGGGACGAAAAAAGGGAAUUCUUUCUCGUCUGACGGUACCAGAUGAAUAAGCACCGGCUAACUCCGUGCCAGCAGCCGCGGUAAUACGGAGGGUGCAAGCGUUAUCCGGAUUCACUGGGUUUAAAGGGUGCGUAGGCGGGUAUGUAAGUCCGUGGUGAAAUCUCCGAGCUUAACUCGGAAACUGCCAUGGGUACUGCGUAUCUUGAAUGUUGUGGAGGUGAGCGGAAUAUGUCAUGUAGCGGUGAAAUGCUUAGAUAUGACAUAGAACACCAAUUGCGAAAGGCAGCUCACUACACAAAUAUUGACGCUGAGCACGAAAGCGUGGGGAUCAAACAGGAUUAGAUACCCUGGUAGUCCACGCCCUAAACGAUGAUUACUCGACAUACGUGAUACACAAUGUGUGUCUGAGCGAAAGCAUUAAGUAUCCACCUGGGAAGUACGACCGCAGUGAAACUCAAAGGAAUUGACGGGGUCCGCACAGCGGUGGAAG
rnacentral:rRNA from 1 species